GACGAACGCUGGCGGCGUGCUUAACACAUGCAAGUCGAACGAUGAAAGAGAAUCCGAUCUCUUCGGAGUGAAGAAUCUCUGGAUUAGUGGCGGACGGGUGAGUAACGCGUGAGCAAUCUGCCUUACACAAAGGGAUAGCCUCGGGAAACCGGGAUUAAUACCAUAUGAUAUCACAGCUUCGCAUGAAGAAGUGAUUAAAGAAUUUCGGUGUAAGAUGAGCUCGCGUCCCAUUAAUUAGUUGGUGAGGGUAACGGCCCACCAAGAUAGCGAUGGGUAGCCGAUCUAAGAGGAUGACCGGCCACAUUGGAACUGAGAAACGGUCCAAACUCCUACGGGAGGCAGCAGUGGGGAAUAUUGCACAAUGGGGGAAACCCUGAUGCAGCGACGCCGCGUGAGCGAUGAAGGCUUUCGAGUCGUAAAGCUCUGUCCUAUGGGAAGAUAAUGACGGUACC
rnacentral:rRNA from 1 species